rnacentral:lncRNA from 1 species
UAUUUUAUGAGACAAGGAAAGAAGAAAGCUUUGGUGGCUGCAGACCUUGUAUACACGAAUCUCGGGGAACUUGUGGAUCACACGAUUUGGAAACUGAUUUAGGACUGAACCUGCCAAAAAUCACUCCUGACCAAUGCAGACAACUGGCUGGAUAAUUUCUCAUCUGCUUUCCACCUAAAAUAUUUUUUCAUAUUUGUGAAAUAAAAUCUUAAAUAGACAGAAUGAUUGUUCACUUACGUGCUGCAUGCCUCAGGUACUGUUCGUCACUGUGAAAUAAUACUUGAUUUUCAGUAAGUUCCUCGGUCAACCUUCAUCUCUAAAUACGACCUACGAGCACAGAAGGACAUUACACUACAUUGCAAAUGAUGAUUUCUUAUUUUGUACAAUUAAACAGUGUGGUUGCAGUUUCCGUCCCUCGUAGAAGGAAAAGGGGAGAAUCAGUUCAGUCUGAAAUUGUGUUUACUGUAUUAUGAUUGUUUUAACUAGGGCUGCACAAUAAAUCGGUUCAGCAUCACAAUGUGAUCAUUUUACAACAGUCAUAUCCAAGCAUACACAAUGUUGAGUCUGGAUUAUAAUUGAUCAUUUGCCUGAUUUUUUUGAGGCCUGAAAUGGUACUGUUUGUAAUUUUAAUAACGAUUAAUUAUUUACAUUAUACAUUACAUUAUUAUUUACAUUAUAUAUUACAUUAAUAUUUACAUUAUACAUUACAUUAUUAUUUACAUUAUACAUUACAUUAUUAUUUACAUUAUACAUUACAUUAUUUACAUUUAUACAAAGAAGACUACACAGUGUAAUUUCACAU